rnacentral:rRNA from 1 species
UGAGCCAAGUUUAGGGUUUUCUCAAAACCCAAGCAGUAUUGAACUGAAGAGUUUGAUCAUGGCUCAGAUUGAACGCUGGCGGCAGGCCUAACACAUGCAAGUCGAGCGGAUGAAGGGAGCUUGCUCCUGGAUUCAGCGGCGGACGGGUGAGUAAUGCCUAGGAAUCUGCCUG